UCCUAAACGUGAUGGACUACUACAUGGGC
rnacentral:sRNA from 1 species